CAGCAGCCACGGUAAUACAGAGGAUGCAAGCGUUAAUCGGAAUUACUGGGCGUAAAGCGCGCGUAGGUGGUUUGUUAAGUUGGAUGUGAAAUCCCCGGGCUCAACCUGGGAACUGCAUUCAAAACUGACUGACUAGAGUAUGGUAGAGGGUGGUGGAAUUUCCUGUGUAGCGGUGAAAUGCGUAGAUAUAGGAAGGAACACCAGUGGCGAAGGCGACCACCUGGACUGAUACUGACACUGAGGUGCGAAAGCGUGGGGAGCAACCAGGAUUAGAUACCCCCGUAGUCCCUGUCUCUUAUAC
rnacentral:rRNA from 1 species